GUGGGGAAUUUUGGACAAUGGGCGCAAGCCUGAUCCAGCAAUGCCGCGUGCAGGAAGAAGGCCUUCGGGUUGUAAACUGCUUUUGUACGGAACGAAACGGUCCGGGUUAAUACCCUGGGCUAAUGACGGUACCGUAAGAAUAAGCACCGGCUAACUACGUGCCAGCAGCCGCGGUAAUACGUAGGGUGCAAGCGUUAAUCGGAAUUACUGGGCGUAAAGCGUGCGCAGGCGGUUUUGUAAGACAGGCGUGAAAUCCCCGGGCUCAACCUGGGAAUUGCGCUUGUGACUGCAAGGCUGGAGUGCUGCAGAGGGGGAUGGAAUUCCGCGUGUAGCAGUGAAAUGCGUAGAUAUGCGGAGGAACACCGAUGGCGAAGGCAAUCCCCUGGGCCUGCACUGACGCUCAUGCACGAAAGCGUGGGGAGCAAACAGGAUUAGAUACCCCUGUAGUCC
rnacentral:rRNA from 1 species